AGGGCCGUCCGACCCGUCGCUGCGUACCUGGGCCUAAGCCUGGGGCGUAGAGCAAAGUCCGGACUCGUAGCAGAGGCCGCUCGGGUCAACAACCCGAGGGGCGGAUGGGCGCAAGCCCUCCGUCACGUCAAGUGCAACAGAGAGCAGACCAGCCGAUGGGUCUGGGCUACCAGACCACAGGUGAUGGGUGAAAGGGUGGGGUAAGAGCCCACCGGCGGUAUCCCGAGGCGAAAGCUACAGGGACCGGCCAGGUAAACCACCGGUGCGAGCAAGCCAAAUUGUCCGGACGCAGUUCGUCCGGCUGGUAGGCGCAGUUCCCUUGUGGGAGCCCGGGGAUUCCCCGGAGAUGGAUGGCGGGAUAGAGCAGAAUCCGGCUUACGGGACGGCCCGGACU
rnacentral:RNase_P_RNA from 2 species